ACACACAAGCAUAAUCCAAAUCCUGAAACGAAAAACUUCCAAUCCACAGAAUCUGAUCAAAACAAUUCCUUUGAUUACAAUUCCUCUCCACUGAGCUUACAACCUUGCGAUAAAUAGUGAUUGAAUACUUCCAUACAUCAUCAAUCUUUCACAACAACUAAUAAACAGUGAUCCAUAAACAACUUCGUAAAUCAAACAUUGAUUCAUUAAAUCGAUCCUCUUCACUAGAAUCAACACUAACACAAAAGAAACAAGAAAACUAAGAAGAAGAGAUAGCACCAAGCUUAUCCCUGGCUCAGUACUAUUACAGUCUGGCAUUUUCUUCCCCUCUCCCAUC
rnacentral:lncRNA from 1 species